CCUACGGGGGGCUGCAGUGGGGAAUUUUGCGCAAUGGGCGAAAGCCUGACGCAGCAACGCCGCGUGUGUGAUGAAGGUCUUCGGAUUGUAAAGCACUUUCGACCGGGACGAAAACGCCUGGGUUAAUACCUCAGGUCUUGACGGUACCGGGAGAAGAAGCACCGGCUAACUCUGUGCCAGCAGCCGCGGUAAUACAGAGGGUGCAAGCGUUGUUCGGAAUUAUUGGGCGUAAAGCGCGUGUAGGCGGCUUUGCAAGUCGGGUGUGAAAGCCCUCGGCUCAACCGAGGAAGUGCGCCCGAAACUGCAGAGCUUGAGUGCCGGAGAGGGUGGCGGAAUUCCCCAAGUAGAGGUGAAAUUCGUAGAUAUGGGGAGGAACACCGGUGGCGAAGGCGGCCACCUGGCCGGUAACUGACGCUGAGACGCGAAAGCGUGGGGAGCAAACAGGAUUAGAUACCCCUGUAGUC
rnacentral:rRNA from 1 species